UGAACGCUGGCGGCGUGCUUAACACAUGCAAGUCGUACGAGAACUCUUCUGCUUGCAGAAGAUAGUAAAGUGGCGCACGGGUGAGUAACGCGUGGGUAAUCUACCUCCGACUCGGGGAUAACAUUGCGAAAGCGAUGCUAAUACCGGAUAAUAUCAAGAAUACUUCGGUUUUCUUGAUCAAAGGUGGCCUCUACAUGUAAGCUUUUGAUUGGAGAUGAGCCCGCGUACCAUUAGCUUGUUGGUGGGGUAAUGGCCUACCAAGGCUGCGAUGGUUAGCUGGUCUGAGAGGAUGAUCAGCCACACUGGAACUGACACACGGUCCAGACUCCUACGGGAGGCAGCAGUGAGGAAUUUUGCGCAAUGGGGGAAACCCUGACGCAGCAACGCCGCGUGAGUGAUGAAGGCUUUAGGGUCGUAAAGCUCUGUCGAGUGGGAAGAAAAACCAGACACCAAUAUUGUCUGGGACUGACGGUACCACUGAAGGAAGCACCGGCUAACUCC
rnacentral:rRNA from 1 species